rnacentral:rRNA from 1 species
AUGAAUGCUAAAUAUAAACUUGCUGGAGAUAAGGGUAGAAAACAUGUUGUGUUUGCACCUGGAGAUCUUGUUUGGUUACAUUUGCGUAAGGAUAGAUUUCCUGAUUUGCGCAAAUCAAAGCUAAUGCCACGUGCUGAUGGUCCCUUUAAGGUGUUAGAGAAAAUAAAUGAUAAUGCAUAUAAACUUGAGCUGCCUGCAGAUUUUGGGGUUAGUCCCACUUUUAACAUUGCAGAUUUGAAGCCUUAUUUGGGUGAGGAAGAUGGACUUCCGUCGAGGACGACUUCAUUUCAAGAAGGGGAGGAUGAUGAGGACAUCAAUACAAUUGUUACACCCAUAGCCCCUGCUGCUAUACAUACUGGACCAAUUACUAGAGCUCGUGCACGCCAACUAAAUUACCAGGUACUUUCGUUUCUUGCUAAUGAUUCUAAUGUUCAUGAGAAUAUGAUGCUGCCUAAAUUGGAUACAUUUGUUUUGCUUACAAAUGAAGGGCCUAGCUUGGAGAAGGAUGAACAUUGGAGCAAGAACAAGCAUGGAGAUGAUGUCAUGCGCAAGGGGAACAAGAACGGAGUUACAAGUGAUGAUUUCAGGACUUUGAAGCCACCAUAA